GGCGAGUGGUUACUGCAGUCUAUCAGUGUGGCCCCGUUGGUGGCUAGGUUGGGCACCGUGGCUGCUGGGCGCUGGGAGUCUGAUGCAUAGCGCCGCGAUGCCACCAUCUGUUUUGCGCAAGCGUUCCCUGUCCCCUCGGGGUGCUGGUUCGUGCGCGCGCACGGAGCGGCGGGAAGAGGGGUCGCAAGAGUGGGACCAGCCGGCCUGGACGUCCCACCGGCUGUACCUGGCUUACCCAGACCAGACCCCCUCCUUCUAGGGUAUUGUUUCCACCUCCUGUCCUGUCCUCCAGUGUGAGGCCUGAUGGGAUCGAAUGUCAGGCAGACCUAAGUGACGAUGGGGUUUGGCGUGAAGCAGACCUGGGUUUGAAUCAGAGAUCUUGGACAGAAUCUUUCUGCUCUCUGGGUUUCAGUUUCCUCCAGAACAGCUGCUUCAGGAUGCCCUUGUGAGCAGAAACCGAAGUGACAUCUGCAGAGCAGAUGGCCUGGCAGUUACCAUUCUGUUUCCAUGAGUUCAGCUGUUUCAAGUUCCACAUUCUCAUGAAGCAAAGCCAGGAUAUCCUUUGAAUGGAUAUUCUUCUCAGUCUAGCCUGAUCUUACAGUUAGUGAUAAACACCUAAAGCCAGACUCAAGAAAGAAUUAUUAGUGAAGCUUAACAUCAAAGAGCAUGCAUUCACAAGUGAAUACAACAAAGUUAUGUAUUGCAAACACUGUUUAUAAUAGCCAAAGAAUGGAACUUUCCAAAUACCCAUCAACAG